CUUUUAUAAUAAUUUUGAAAUUUUACUUUAAGGUGGGAAGCCAACCAGAGGGGAUGGGGAGCAGCUGGUCGCCCUUGACCAAAUUAAAAAGGCAUCAUUAUUGAUGCUACAUUGAAGAAGUGGCCGUCAGCCAGCCGAGGGGAGAUGGGCACGUCUAUCAAUUCAAAGCUCAUGGAGC